ACGAGGCACUAUGGACAUGUGUAUAAAUAAAGGACUUCAUAUAUAUAUAUGAUAUAUAUGAUAUACCAUAGUGGUAUUUUCACUUGGCUCAAAAUUUGUAUGUUUCGUUUAUCUGUAGACUAGCAAGACAAAUAAUUGCGUGGAUUAAAGAAGAUGAUAACAUCAAGGAUAUGUCUGAGGUUUCAAAUCUGGAUUGAAGGAGAGUGAAGAACGUGAAACAGUAGACACAGUUAAAUGAUUAUUCACUGAUAGCAGGAGAAUCAGGCAAAUCCCACCACCUGUUUAUGGCCUCCCAACACAGACUCACUGACCAGAGAAACCAUCAGUUGCUGCUACAACAUGGCUUGAUGAGUGGUGUCGGUCUGCACCUGAGAUCCAAACUUGAGAACCGGGCCGCUGAAGCGGAGCAUGCCAGACUUAACCACUACACCACGGGGCUGACACCACA
rnacentral:lncRNA from 1 species